UCGAGUCUACCACUCUCGCUCUCGCUCUCGCUGUCUCGCACCUCCGUUCCCCAUUCACUCGCCACCGGCGGGGGGCGGCGCCGCCAUGCUUCGGCUGCGGCGCAGCAUCUUCACCCGCCUCCUCUCGUCUCCCUCCGCCUCUCCCAUCUCCCAUCUCCACCGCCUCCUCUCCGCCGUUUCCCCAAGCCCUGGACUCAACGUGGAGGAGUACCUCGUCGAUCGAUGCGGCCUCACCCGGGCGCAGGCAAUCAAGGCCUCCGCCAAGAUCUCCCACCUCAAGUCCCCCACCAAUCCCGACGCCGUCCUCUCCUUCCUCGCCGGCCUCGGCCUCUCCACCGGCGACGUCUCUGCCGUCGUCGCCAAGGACCCCAAGCUACUCUGCUCCGCCGUGGACAAAACCCUGGCGCCCGUCGUCACCGGGCUCGCCGGUCUCGGCCUAUCGCGCGAUGAGAUCGCGCGCCUCGUCCUGGUCGCCCGCGACAGAAUCCGCUGCAGAUCCAUCGUCUCCUACCUCAACUACUACCUGCCCAUCUUCGGCUCCUUCCACAACCUCCUUCGAGCCUUGAAGUUCAACAAUAGUCUCCUCGGAUAUAACCUCGAGAGGACAGUUAAACCCAACGUCACGUUCCUGCGGGAGUGCGGUCUACAUGAUUGCGAUAUUGCCAAGCUGAGCAUAGCUGCGCCGAGUAUGCUCACCAACAAUCUGGACCGUGUCCGGGCGACUGUGGCUUGCGCCGAGCGUUUAGGUGUGCCUCGUGCCUCUCCCAUGUUCAGGCACGCCCUGCACGCUCUUGCAUUUGACACCGAGGACACUGUCGCCGCCAAACUAGACUACUUGAAGAAGACGUUUAACUGGUCUGAUGCUGAGGUGGCCAUCGCCGUGUCUAGGGCUCCGCUUGUGCUGACAAGGUCCAAAGCAACGCUGCAAGGAAGGUCUGACUUCCUCAUGUCUGAGGUGGGGUUGGAACCCGCCUACAUUGCUCAUCGCCCAGCAAUACUCUCUUAUAGCUUGGAGGGCAGGCUCAGACCCCGAUAUUAUGUUCUAAAGUUUCUUAAGGAGAAUGGAUUGCUACAGCGGGAGCGGAGCUACUUCUCAGCAGUCAUUGUGACCGAGAAGGUGUUUGUGGACAGGUACAUAUGCCCACACAAGGAAGCUGCACCGCACCUUGCUCAAGACUAUGCAACAGCUUGCGGAGGCCAAGUGCCGACUAGAUUCAGAUUUGCAUGAACCAACAACAGCCAUGAAAUUCUGAAACCAUGCAUGUAUGGCGUGACAUAAAUUUUCACUUGUGUGGCGAGAAGAAACAUGGCAGAUAUGGCUUUGCAAUACUAUAUGUAGGUGAUUCCGAAGGAGGAUCAGCCUCGGUUCAGGUCAUAUGGCAGCGCAGAUGGCGGAUUUCAGUCCGUCUGGAAUAAGACUACUCGACCAUGCUAUGCACAUUCAUGAUGCCCUGUGGCUUUCUUCAGUAACUAAUAUUCAUGGCCUGAUGCCGGUGGGAGUCCUAUUCAGAGAAGAAGCUCUUAAUUAACUAGCUUGCCCCUUUUGAAUUUUGCAAGUUAAGCAAUCCUUCUUGUAUUGUCCUAUGGAUUGUACUCCUGUACACUAAUCAGGUGACACACAUGUUGCUGUCGCCUGCUGUAUUCAUCAGCUCAACUGAGCCUGAACAAGAAAUAAGCUGAAUAAAUUGGUACAUUCAGCUCCGUA